UACGUAGGGUGCAAGCGUUGUCCGGAAUUAUUGGGCGUAAAGAGCUCGUAGGCGGUUUGUCGCGUCUGCUGUGAAAACUCGGGGCUCAACUCCGAGCUUGCAGUGGGUACGGGCAGACUAGAGUGCGGUAGGGGAGACUGGAAUUCCUGGUGUAGCGGUGGAAUGCGCAGAUAUCAGGAGGAACACCGAUGGCGAAGGCAGGUCUCUGGGCCGCAACUGACGCUGAGGAGCGAAAGCAUGGGGAGCGAACAGG
rnacentral:rRNA from 1 species